rnacentral:rRNA from 1 species
UACGAAGGGUGCAAACGUUGCUCGGAAUUAUUGGGCGUAAAGCGCACGUAGGCGGCUUGACAAGUCGGAUGUGAAAUCCCUCGGCUCAACCAAGGAAGUGCAUCCGAAACUGACGAGCUUGAGUACUUAAGAGGAUCGCGGAAUUCCCGGUGUAGAGGUGAAAUUCGUAGAUAUCGGGAGGAACACCAGUGGCGAAGGCGGGUCUCUGGACAGUUCCUGACGCUGAGGCACGAAGGCCAGGGGAGCAAACGGGGAGUUAGAAUAC